UGUCUAUUAACUGUAGACCUGUAUGAAAGGCAAAAUGAGGGUUUAACUGUCUCUUAUAAUUAAUCUAUUAAACUGAUCUCCCAGUAAAAAAGCUGGGAUACCCACAUAAGACCAGAAGACCCUGUGAAGCUUAAACUAAACUAUUAAACCCAAUAAUAACUACUUUCGGUUGGGGCGACCUUGGAAACAAAAACAACUUCCAAAUAUACGUGUUACACCACAAUAAGGCUAACAAGCCAAUAAACGACCCAGUAUAGCUGAUAAUUGAACAAAGUUACUCCAGGGAUAACAGCGCUAUCUUCUUCAAGAGCCCAUAUCAAAAAGAAGGUUUACGACCUCGAUGUUGGAUCAGGACAUCCUAAUGGUGCA
rnacentral:rRNA from 1 species